CUCCAUUGCCCCAAAGGACAUUCGCUUGGGUCAUGAGCACAGAGUUGCCAGUGUGGAACAUUGCAAUGCUGAUGAUGCCAUGGUAAAUUAUGACAGAUACCAGGAAAAUCAUCACCACACAGAGCUGGGGGCCAGGAGAGAGGGCUGUCAGAGCUGGAGAGUGGACUGCCAGGGUUCCAGUGCACCCACCCUGGAGGAGCCAGUCCUUCCAGAGCAAAGGCCCAGUGUCCCCUCACCACAGUGAGGAUGGCUGCAGAGCUGGUGAGUAGGUGGGAAAGGCAGCUGUGCGGUUGGAAGUAGGGCUCCUUCAAGCCUGUCACUGGGUUCUGGGUCAUCUGCAGGGCCAGGGCAGCAAACUGUAGAUGUGGGCACUCCUAUCACAGGGGGCAACAGAAAUGUGCAUCCUAGGGCCAAGAGGCUGGUGCCAUGAUCCUAGGCUAGGGGAAGCCCCCCACCUUUUCCUGACUGCAGAGGGAGCUCUGGAAGUGCAGCAAUGGGUUCUAAUUCAUUUUUGGUUUUGCAGGACCUUUUUCCCCAGGGCAUGGUUAAAAGCAUGUGGAUGGAUGGCUAGAUGGAUGGUGGGUAGACGGAGAAGUAAACAGCAAAUGAGUGGACAUGUGGAAAAGGGAUAGAUAGACAGAUGAGUGAGCAGGCAGUAGGCCGACAAAUGGGCAGGUAAACUAGGCAAGCAAUCAGUAAAUUUCUAUAGUUUAUUCACAAGUAAGUGAGUAGACAGGCAGGUGGGUGGAGGGAUGGAUGGAUGGCCAGGUGAGUGAGCAGAUGAAAGUCUGGUUGGAUGGUUGAUGGACAUGAGGAUGGAUGGAUAGAUGGAUGGAUGGAUGAAUGGGGGGAUGGAUGGAUGAAUGGAGGAUAGACAGAUAGCUAGGUGGGUGAGCGAUGAAAGUCUGGUUGGAUGGUUGAGGAUUGAUGAAUGGAUGGAUGAAUGGAGGAUGGCUGGAUGAUUAGGUGGGUGAGCAGAUGAAAGUUUGGUGGGAUGGCUGAUGGACAUGAGGAUGGAUGGAUGGAUGGUUAGGUGGAUGAGCAGAUGAAAGUCUGUUUGAAUGGUUGAUGAACAUGGGGAUAUUUGGAUGAAUGGAUGAGUGGGAUGGGUGCAUGGAUGGAUAAAUGGAUAAAUUUAUUAGUUUAGUCAAUAGCUAUUAACCAUGUACCACUCUGCAAUAGAUACUGAAUAUGCCAUAGUGAACAAACUGGAGAAGAUCCAUGCCCUAAUGAAGUUUACAAACUAGUUUGUGAGACAGGUUAAAUGAAUGAACAGAGACAUAUAUAUAUGUCCUAUGAAGGAAAACUUUUUCAUGGAUGGUCUGAAGAAAUGACACUUUAGCUAUGACCCAAAAGGUGAAAAGGUGCUAAAGGGACAGUGGAGAGAAGCUUUCUGGGGAGGGAACAGUGGGUGCAAAGGCAGGGCCACUCUUUUUUUUUUUCUUUUUCUUUUUUUUUUUUUUUUUUGAGACAGUUUCACUCUGUCCCCCAGGCUGGAGUGCAGUGGCACGAUCUUGGCACAUUACAACCUCCUCCUCCCAGAUUCAAACAAUUCUCGUGCCUCAGCCUCUCGAGUAGCUGGGAUUACAGGUGUGCACUACCACACCCAGAUAAUUUUUGUAUUUUUAGUAGACAUGGGGUUUCCCUAUGUUGGCCAAGCUGGUCUUGAACUCCUGACCUCAAAUGAUCCACCCUCCUCAGCCUCUCAAAGUUCUGGAAUUACAGGCAUGAGCCACUGUGCCUGGCACUAAGUUUUGUAUUUUUAGUAGAGAUGGGGUUUUGCCAUGUUGGCCAGGGUGGUCUCGAACUCCUGCCCUCAAGUGAUCUGCCUGCCUCAGCCUCCCAAAGUGCUGGGAUUACAGGAAUAAACUACUGUGCCCAGCCCGCUCUUUUUAAAUUAAAUUAAAUUAAUUAUUUUUUUUGAGACAGAGUCUCACUCUGUUGCCCAGGCUGGAGUGCAAUGGCACGAUCUCGGCUCACUGCAAUCUCCGCCUCCUGGGUUUAAGCGAUUCUCAUGUCUCAGCCUCCCAAGUAGCUAGGAUUACAGGCACAUGCCACAAUGCUGGGCUUAUUUAUUUAUUUAUUUAUUUAUUUAUUUAUUUAUUUAUUUUGAGACGGAGCCUCGCUCUGUCACCAGGCUGGGCUCACUGCAACCUUCGCCUCCCGGGUUCAAGCAAUUCUCCUGCCUGAGUCUCUCGAGUAGCUGGGACCAGAGGCGCGUGCCACCACGCCCAGCUAAUUUUUGUAUUUUUAGUUGAGACGGGGUUUCAGCACAUUAGCCAGAUGGUCUCAAUCUCUUGACCUUGUGAUCCACCCACCUUGGCCUCCCAAAGUGCUAGGAUUACAGAUGUGAACCACCGCGCCCAGCCGGGGCUAAUUUUUGUAUUUUUAGUCGAGAUGGAGUUUUGCCAUGUUGGUCAGGCUGGUCUUAAACUCUUGGCCUCAAGUGAUCCGCUUGCUUCAGCCUCUCAAAGUGCUGGGAUUAUAGGCAUCAGCCACCGUGCAUGGCCAAUUUCAAUUUUAAUUUAAUUCUUAAUAUAUUUUUUAGCGACAAGGUCUUGUUCUGUCACCCAGGCUGGAGUGCAGUGGCACAAUCAUAGCUCACAGCAGCCCCAAACUCCUGGCCCCAAGUGAUUCUCCUGCCUCAGCCUACUGAGUAGCUGGGACUACAGAUACAUGCCACUGCACCCAGCUAAUUUUUUAUUUUUUAGUAGAGAGAAAGUCUCACUAUGUUGCUGAGGCUGAUCUUGAAUUCCUGGGCUCAAGUGAUCCUCCUGCCUCAGCCACCCAAAGGGCUGGGAUUACAGGUGUGAGCCACUGUGCCCGGGCCAGGGCCACUCUUUAAAGUUACCUGAGUUAUGUACUGCACUAUCCAAAGGGUACCACUGACAUUUACUUCGUUGCCUCAGUGUUCCCUUUCUGCUUUUUCAGUCCCCCAGCACCUGUUUAACCAAUACCUUAUAUAUUAAAUUAUCUCUGUUAAAAUAUCUUGUUUGGUUUUCUAUCUUCCUAUAACCCUGUUGAAUGGAUAAAGUGAUGGAUGGCUGGACAAAUGGGUAGGCAGAAGAUAGAUUAUUCACAGAUUCACUCAACAAACAUUUAUGGAGCAUCUUCUAUGUGCUAGAGACUAUUCUGGGCACUGGGGUACAGCAGCCAACAUCACACAUAAGGUCUCUGCUCUCAUGGAGCUCACACGCCAGUGGGAGAAGACAGAUAAUAAACAAACAAACCAUAAAAUACAGUGAUGAAUGCUGCAAUUAAAUUAAAACAGUGACAGGGCACCUCUCUGGAUUAGUGAUCAGGGAAGACCUCUCUAGGAAGGAGAUAUUUGAGACUUGAAUGACAAGGAGUAGGCCACAUAAGAUCUGAAGGGGAUUCUGGCAGAGCAUAGCCAAUAUAGCCAAUGCCAAGGCUCCAGGAUGGAAAUGAACUUGACCUAUUCAAGGAUCUGGUGGAGCCAGUUGGGCAGAACUAGACACAGGCCAGAUGGCACAGGGCCUUGCAGGCCACUGUGAGGGGUCUGGAUAGUUUCCCAGGUACGUCUCAAAUGAGACUGCCCUGGAAGGCUUUGAGGAAGGUAACACAGAUGUCACUGUCCUGGCAGCUGAGAAUGAAUUAAGUGGGGCAAGGAGAUCUGUUGCGAGGUCACUGCAGUGGUCCAGGAAAGAGGAAAUGGUGACUUGGACUGGAGUGGGGAGAGCUGGGGUGUGGCAGAGGAGGUAGGGAGAAGCGAACAGACUUAGGAUCAAUGAUAAGAUGUUUGGAUAGACAGGUAGGUAGCUGGAUGGGUGGGUGGGUAGGUGGAAUGUUUUCUCCUUCUCUGUUCUUGGGAGGGUCUCUUUCCAAGGCCCGGCUUAUUAUAUAAAUACUCUCAGUGUUUCACCUCGCCAAGCCUGUAUCAUCCUGAUGUCAGGGGAGGGUGGAAAGUGACCCAGGAAAAGUGUGAGGAGAAGCCAGAUUUGGAUCCCAGGAUGUUGGACUCCAAAGUCUGACCUCUUCCCAGCACACUUUAAGGCCUCUGAGAACUCUGGGAAGUGGGGUUGUGGCCUGGAGGGCUGAACUGGGCAUCACCUCCUGGUCCUGGAAGUCGCUGCAGUCCCAGUGGUGGAGGGCUGAACUGGGCAUCACCUCCUGGUCCUGGAAGUCGCUGCAGUCCCAGUGGUGGGGGGCUGAACUGGGCAUUGCCUCCUGGUCCUGGAAGUCACUGCAGUCCCAGUGGUGGGCCAAGGUGGCACUCCCUGCUUCCAGUGCUCCAGGAAGGCCAUGGCCCCAGAAGGACAUGAAGAUGCUGAAGAACACGGUUCCUGGGUGGUCAAAGAGGCAGCUCAGCUGUGAGGAGGGGAGAGAGGGCACAAGGUAGGGCCAGCAUCCAGGCCCAGGUUGGGUCCAAAAUACCUACCUGGUUUUUUUGCCCCUUUCCUUGGCUCACCUUGGCCAUGGGGCAGUUGCCAGAGGAGUCCUCGUGUCAACUGCCCGCUUAAGGUCCCAGCUGGACUCACCCCAAGCAGCCAUCUCACCACUCAGUGCAUCCACAUGUAAGAGAAGUAGGAGCCAUGGGAAUCUCUGCCCAGGAAUCUGUGAGAGGAACAGGGGUCAGAAGCCCAGCCCUCUGCCCGAUCUGAAACCUAAUACCAGUCCAGAGCCUCUCCGUUGGAGACAGGCAGGUGAGACAUGCCAGCUGCCACUGCCAGAGAGCCCUUCUGGCCACAGAGCGCAGCCUGGGCUGGGUGUGCUCCAGUCAGGUGUGCAUCAGAGCGGAUUGAACAGGUGGGAAUCAGAGAUGGUGGGCAGGGCUGGGGCCCCAGUUUGCGGAAAGGACAGGGUCAGAGACCUAAAGCGAGUGAGGCGGGAAUUGCCUCUGAGGCACGCCGAGGAAGGGCAAAUCAGCCUUGGCUGGGCUAAGGCUUCUGCUGGCUCCAGCCCCUCCGCGGACAGACCCUGCCCACCCAAGGGGCCGCCUGGUCUCACUUGUCCGGCUCCGAGCUGCGGAAGGCGCACGAAUCCUACGGCCGGCUGGGCACCUACUGCUGCAGAGGGUUGCGCAGGCGCAGGCGUCGCCGUGGCUCCGCCGAGCCCUCAGAGUCGGGGUUGGGCCGGGCCUGGGGUCAAGGGCAGGGUUACGGCCCCCUAGGGAGACUCCGCCCCUGGCGGACCCCGCCCCACCCCUCCACAUGAGACGGCGCGCGCAGGCUCAGUUCCUCGGCGUAGCACAGCGGCUCCCAGGCGCGCUCAGCUCGGCGAAGGGUGCGGCGCUAUGCCGGGGUACUCUCCUGGGCUGCUCUCCCAGGAGGAGAGGGAAGGACCCCUAAGCCCCUCCCCUCACGAUCUCGGCCGGGAGGUGACAGAUCCCUUUUUUUGUUGUUGUUUUGUUUUUUUGAGACAACAUCUCGCUGUUGCUGGAGUGCAGUGGCGCGAUCUUGGCUCACCACAACUUCCGCCUCCCGGAUUCAAGCGAUUUUCCUGCCUCAGCCUCCCGAGUAGCUGGGACUACAGGCGUGC
rnacentral:lncRNA from 10 species